GAUGAACGCUGGCGGCGUGCCUAAUACAUGCAAGUCGAGCGAACAGACGAGGAGCUUGCUCCUCUGACGUUAGCGGCGGACGGGUGAGUAACGCGUGUAUAACCUACCUAUAAGACUGGGAUAACUUCGGGAAACCGGAGCUAAUACCGGAUAAUAUAUUGAACCGCAGGGUUCAAUAGUGAAAGACGGUUUUGCUGUCACUUAUAGAUGGAUCCGCGCCGCAUUAGCUAGUUGGUAAGGUAACGGCUUACGAAGGCAACGAUGCGUAGCCGACCUGAGAGGCUGAUCGGCCACACUGGAACUGAGACACGGUCCAGACUCCUGCGGGAGGCAGCAGUAGGGAAUCUUCCGCAAUGGGCGAAAGCCUGACGGAGCAACGCCGCGUGAGUGAUGAAGGUCUUCGGAUCGUAAAACUCUGUUAUUAGGGAAGAACAAAUGUGUAAGUAACUAUGCACGUCUUGACGGUACCGAAUCAGAAAGCCCCGGCUAACUACGUG
rnacentral:rRNA from 1 species